AGGGUGAGCUGUGUGUAGGAGAGAAAGCUGUGUGUGAAAGGCUCCCUGUGCUCAAGCCAGGAAACUGAGGAUUAAAGGCUGGAGGAGUCACAGGAUUUUGGAGCUUCCCCCUCUAAAUCACUGAUUCAAAUCUGACUCAGGCUGACAGUGGCUAAAAGGUAUUUCAUCUGCAGGCUGUUUGCUAGCCUAUGUGAAUAGAGUUGAUGAUCUCAAGUCUGCUGGUUUAAUGAAAAAACAACCAAAAAAACCUAGAGAUGGUCCGUUCUGGUCAGGAGAGCAACACAUCAGGGAGUCUCAACAGACCUCACCCACCUCAUAUUUCUUCUGAGAACAAAUAAAGGUUUCCAGUCUCCAGGACUGUCCGCUCAUCUUCCAUGG